rnacentral:pre_miRNA from 2 species
AGUGGAACUGCUGGGUCAUAUGGUAACUAUGUUCAACUUUUUGAGAAACUGCCAAACUUUUUUUCAAGACAGGUGCACCAUUUUACAUUCCCGUGAGCAAU